rfam:Triticum urartu cultivar G1812 contig335206, whole genome shotgun sequence.
CAAUUACUCCCUCCGUCCGCAAAUACUUGUCAUUAAAAUGAAUAAAAAAUAGAUAUAUUUAGAACUAAACUACAUCUAGAUACAUCCUUUUUUAUUUAUUUUAAUAACAAGUAUUUUUAGAUGGAGGAAGUACAUG